rnacentral:rRNA from 1 species
GAGAGAUUACGAAAGGGCGUAUGGGGGAUGCCUAGGCUCUUAACGAAGACGAAGGACGUGAUAAGCUGCGAAAAGCUGCGGGGAUUAGCACAUAUGAGUCGAUCCGCAGAUAUCCGAAUGGGGCAACCUAUCAUGUUAUGCAUGAUAUCCGCGAGGAGUAUUACCUGCUGAACUGAAACAUCUAAGUAGGCAGAGGAAGAGAAAACAAUAGUGAUUUUGUUAGUAGCGGCGAGCGAACGCGAAACAGCCCAAACCGAUAUUGUUACGGCAGUAUCGGGGUUGUAGGACUACGAUAUUUUAUAUAUAAGAGAACUAGAAUAAGUUGGAAAGCUUAACAAAAUAGUGUGAUAGUCACGUAUAGGUAAUUUUAUAUAUAGAUAGUAGUAUCCUGAGUAGUGCGGGGCACGAGAAACCUUGCAUGAAUCCACCGGGACCAUCCGGUAAGGCUAAAUACAGUUAAGAGNNNNNNNNNNCUUACAAGCGGUCGGAGCCGCGCCUUUGGCGUGGUGACGGCGUGCCUUUUGCAUAAUGAGCCUACGAGUUAUUGGUAUUGGCGAGGAUAACCUGCAAGAGCGGGGGAUUCGUAGCGAAAGCGAGUUUUAAUAGGGCGUUAGUCAUUAUCAAUAGACGCGAACCCGGGUGAUCUAUCCUUGGGCAGGUUGAAGCUGUGGUAACACAUAGUGGAGGACCGCACCCAUUAACGUUGAAAAGUUUUGGGAUGACCUGAGGAUGGGGGUGAAAGGCCAAUCAAACUCG